rnacentral:rRNA from 1 species
AUUAGAUUAAAAACCAAUGCCCUUCGGGGCUCUCUGGUGAUUCAUGAUAACUUCUCGAAUCGCAUGGCCUUGCGCCGGCGAUGGUUCAUUCAAAUUUCUUCCCCAUCAGCUUUCGAUGUUUGGGUAUUGGCCAAACAUGGUUGCAACGGGUAACGGAGGGUUAGGGCUCGACCCCGGAGAAGGAGCCUGAGAAACGGCUACUACAUCCAAGGAAGGCAGCAGGCGCGCAAAUUACCCAAUCCCGACUCGGGGAGGUAGUGACAAUAAAUACUGAUACAGGGUUCUUUCGGAUCUUGUAAUUGGAAUGAGUACAAUUUAAAUCCCUUAACGAGGAACAAUUGGAGGGCAAGUCUGGUGCCAGCAGCCGCGGUAAUUCCAGCUCCAAUAGCGUAUAUUAAAGUUGUUGUGGUUAAAAAGCUCGUAGUUGAACCUUGGGCCUGGCUGGCCGGUCCGCCUCACCGCGUGUACUGGUCCGGCCGGGCCUUUCCCUCUGUGGAACCCUAUGCCCUUCACUGGG